GCACAACGCGAAGAACCUUACCUACCCUUGACAUGUCUGGAAUCCCGAAGAGAUUCGGGAGUGCUCGAAAGAGAACCGGGACACAGGUGCUGCAUGGCUGUCGUCAGCUCGUGUCGUGAGAUGUUGGGUUAAGUCCCGCAACGAGCGCAACCCUUGUCAUUAGUUGCUACGAAAGGGCACUCUAAUAAGACUGCCGGUGACAAACCGGAGGAAGGUGGGGAUGACGUCAAGUCCUCAUGGCCCUUAUGGGUAGGGCUUCACACGUGCUACAAUGGUCGGUACAGAGGGUUGCCAAGCCGCGAGGUGGAGCUAAUCCCAGAGAACCGAUCGUAGUCCGGAUCGUAGUCUGCAACUCGACUACGUGAAGUCGGAAUCGCUAGUAAUCGUGGAUCAGAAUGUCACGGUGAAUACGUUCCCGGGUCUUGUACACACCG
rnacentral:rRNA from 1 species